GAGUUUGAUCGUGGCUCAGAUUGAACGCUGGCGGCAUGCCUUACACAUGCAAGUCGAACGGCAGCACGGGAGCUUGCUCCUGGUGGCGAGUGGCGAACGGGUGAGUAAUGCAUCGGAACGUAUCCUGGAGUGGGGGAUAACGUAGCGAAAGUUACGCUAAUACCGCAUAUUCUGUGAGCAGGAAAGCGGGGGACCUUCGGGCCUCGCGCUCUUGGAGCGGCCGAUGUCGGAUUAGCUAGUUGGUGAGGUAAAGGCUCACCAAGGCGACGAUCCGUAGCAGGUCUGAGAGGAUGAUCUGCCACACUGGAACUGAGACACGGUCCAGACUCCUACGGGAGGCAGCAGUCGGGGAAUUUUGGACAAUGGGGGCAACCCUGAUCCAGCCAUGCCGCGUGAGUGAAGAAGGCCUCGG
rnacentral:rRNA from 1 species